GUCACUUUUAGAUUCUUGGCAACCGGAGACUCUUAUCGGACUAUUGCCAAUAGUUAUCGUUUAGGGAUUUCCACUGGUUUCCUUCAUUGUACCAGAUACAUGCAGAGGCAUUUGGGACACACUCCAACCAAUGGUUUUGCAAUGCCCAUCCACCCAAGCUGCAUGGACAACAAUUGGGAAUGAGUUUGAAGCGAGGUGGCAAUUCCCGAAUUGUUUAGGUGCCAUUGAUGGCAAACAUGUCAUCAUUCAAGCCCCAAACAAUUCGGGAUCCAUGUUUUUUAAUUAUAAGAAGACGCACAGCAUUGUGUUGAUGGCUGUGGUGGAUGCAAAUUAAAAAUUUGUGGCAGUCGACGUUGGAGGGUAUGGGAGGAGCAGUGAUGGGGGUAUAUUUGCUGACUCCUGUUUUGGCAGAAGAUUGGCCAAUGGUACCCUCAAUCUUCCUAAUCCUAGGCCAUUGGGAAGGACGAGUCAUGGAGACUGCACCCCAUUUGUAUUUGUAGCUGAUGAGGCAUUCCCUUUAAAGGAAAAUAUUAUGAGACCAUAUGGUGGGAACAACCUGAACUCAAAACAGAAAAUAUACAACUACAGGUUGUCAAGGGCUCGCCGAAUGGUAGAGAGUGUUUUUGAAAUACUUUCCAACCAAUGGAGAGUAUUCCAUAGGGUAAUGCCUCUUCAGCCUACAAAUGCUGAUGGGGUUGGUGAAGGCUACCUGUUGCCUCCAUAACUUUUUGAGGAAAAUAGAAAAUCAGCCAGAAGGAGUGCAGGAAGCUUCCUCAGAAGCUGACAACAAUACAUUACUGAGAAGUUUGUCACAGAUUGGGGGUCGUGCAACAUCCCGGGCGAUUGCUACAAGGGAAUCGUACACUGAUUUCCUUAGUGGCCAAGGAGCUAUUGGAUGGCAAAAUGACCAAGUUUGAAGGUGAUCAGAUCAAUAUUACGCAAUAAACAUCACUAAUAUAUCGAGGUUGAAGUUGCAUAUCUUGUUGCGUCAUUGUGUGCCACCCCCCAUCUAGCAUUCAAAUAUAUUCGUAACACAUAAAAGUACUACAAACCAGUAUAUAUUUCAGCAUGUAUCUAAUCUGUAUUAAAUUCUAGAUGAAACAAAACUUCUUGAAUUUCAAUCUAUGCAUGCUGAAAUUUUUUAUUUGGCAACCGUCUAAAUGUCUGCACAAGCGAUUGGGCAAAUAUUUCAGCAUCAUCUUGUUCUGGAAAAAACAAAAAAAACAUUUAGAGGAGUAGCUACUGUUUCUUCAUUAUGUGUAUCUUUCCUGCAAUUAUACUGUUCAUUUCAAAUAAUUCUAAUUAUCGAUAUCUUUACUUUUUUGUAUAUCAGAGUUUUG